rnacentral:tRNA from 1 species
GGCUGUGGCUCAGUGGUAGAGCACUUGCCUAGCAUGCAUGAGGCACUGGGUUUGAUCCCCCGCACCA